rnacentral:rRNA from 1 species
CAGCCGCCGCGGUAAUACCGGCGGCCCGAGUGGCGGUCACUAUUAUUGGGCUUAAAGCGUCCGUAGCCGGGGUGGGAAGUCCUCCGGGAAAUCUGGCCGCUUAACGGUCAGAAUGCCGGAGGAUACUCCCAGCCUAGGGAGCGGGAGAGGCCGAGGGGAUUCCCGGAGUAGGGGGGAAAUCCUAUAAUCCCGGGAGGACCACCUGUGGCGAAGGCGCUCGGCUGGAACGCGUCCGACGGUGAGGGACGAAGGCCAGGGGAGCAAACCGGAUUAGAUACCCGGGUAGUCCUGGCUGUAAACGAUGCGGACUUUGUGUCGGACAAGCUAUGAGCUUGUCCGGUGCCGGAGGGAAACCGUUAAGUCCGCCGCCUGGGGAGUACGGCCGCAAGGCUGAAACUUAAAGGAAUUGGCGGG